GUAGGGAAUAUUGCGCAAUGGACGAAAGUCUGACGCAGCGACGCCGCGUGAGUGAUGAAGGCCUUAGGGUCGUAAAGCUCUGUUGAAUGGGAAGAAAAAAAUGACGGUACCAUUCGAGGAAGGACCGGCUAACUUCGUGCCAGCAGCCGCGGUAAUACGAGGGGUCCUAGCGUUGUUCGGAAUCAUUGGGCGCAAAGGGUGUGUAGGUGGCCAUGUAAGUCAGGUGUGAAAGCCCCGGGCUCAACCCGGGAAGUGCACUUGAUACUGCGUGGCUUGAGUACCGAAGAGGGUAGUGGAAUUCCAGGUGUAGUGGUGAAAUACGUAGAUAUCUGGAGGAACACCGGUGGCGAAGGCGGCUACCUGGUCGAGUACUGACACUGAGACACGAAAGCGUGGGGAGCAAACAGGAUUAGAAACCCGGGUAGUCC
rnacentral:rRNA from 1 species